rnacentral:tRNA from 1 species
UCCCUGGUGGUCCAGUGGUUAAGACUCCAGACUUACAGUUCAGGGAGCUCAGGCUCCAUUCCUGGUCAGGGAA